rnacentral:rRNA from 1 species
UACGUAGGUGGCAAGCGUUGUCCGGAUUUACUGGGCGUAAAGGAUGCGUAGGCGGACAUUUAAGUCAGAUGUGAAAUACCCGAGCUUAACUUGGGUGCUGCAUUUGAAACUGGGUGUCUAGAGUGCAGGAGAGGUAAGUGGAAUUCCUAGUGUAGCGGUGAAAUGCGUAGAGAUUAGGAAGAACACCAGUGGCGAAGGCGGCAUCCUGGACCGGUAUUGACGCUGAGGCGCGAAAGCAUGGGGAGCGAACAGG